AGNNNACNNCCAAAUUUGAAAGCAUUUGCCAAGAAUGUUUUCAUUGAUCACGAGCGAAAGUCAGAGUUUCCAACACUAUCACAUACCGUCCUAGUUCUGACCAUAAACGAUGCCGACUGACCAUCCGCGGCGGCGCUUAUGGCUCCACGGGCAGUCCCCGGGAAACUUAAGUCUUUGGGCUCCUUCGGAAGUAUGGUUGCAAAACUGAAACUUAAAGGAAUUGACGGAAGGGCACCAACACGAGUGGAGCCUGCGGUUUAAUUCAAGUCAACACGGGAAAACUCACCCGGCCCGGACACUGUGAGGAUUGACAGAUUGAAAGCUCUUUCUUGAAUCGGUGGUUGGUGGUGCAUGGGCGAUCGGAGUUGGUGGAGCUAUUUGUCUGGUUAAUUCCCAUAACGAACGAGACUUUUACCUACUAAAUACUCACUUGGUACUAUUGCGCGUGUAGACUGCUUAGAUGGACAAGUGAUGGUCAGUGGCAUGUAGGUGCGGUUUUACAACUAGGGCACGCCCAAAAAAGUUCNGG
rnacentral:rRNA from 1 species